GAGCUGUGUGAUAAAUACAAAGCGAACUAUUCUUUUGCCUUUUACUAAAGAAUAUUGUGUGCUUGUCACCUUUAUCGGCAUACACAUAUUUUUGGAGGUGCCUUCCUUUUGGAUGGCC
rfam:Lupinus angustifolius cultivar Tanjil chromosome LG19, whole genome shotgun sequence.